ensembl:lncRNA
GCAGGGCCUCUCUCAGAGCCUAUGUCUGCACACUGCUGAUGCUUGGAAGGUCUCUAUCCAACCACAUUACUUCUGGGCUACCUGUGCCGUGUUUACUGCUGAUGUCUUACAGCAGAGGUUCAAGAGAUGAUCACUAGUCUUGGGUCCUUGGGGACAUAUGGCAGACCCCACAUGAUACGGGUGUAAAGGUGCACGUGCGUUCAUGAGAAGCCCCCACUUCUCCUCCAGGGACCUAGCACCCAGCCUGUCCUCACUAGAACAGCCUCAGCUGAAAGACGAGCAGCUACAUGCAUGGACCUCCUUGUUACACACUUUCAUUGUGCAGCCUCAAUGAGGUGCUCCUCCUGACUCUGCAUUUUGUGGGGGACAUCAGGCUAGUGGCUGUUGGUGCUCAGUCAAUGUGGCAUCAGGGUCCCUUCCAAAGUCAUCUCAAAGUUGUUUGGAGACUCUCAUCACUUCCUGCUGUUUGGUUACUGAAUCUCUGGGUCGUUGACGUUUUCUCUCAGCCUCUCUCUCCUCAACUGUUUUUUAUCUCCUGACCAAUGAAGAAAAUAAGUGAAGCAGGAUUAAACCACAGGCCAGAGUAUCAUCCAUUCUAAGCCUCCUGCCCCUGCUACCUGUCCUUAGCCUUGUCCUCUGGCCUAUUCAGUCUCAGGAAAGAAGCCGGCAGAGAGAGGCAGCUGUUUGCACACAGGGAAAAUGCCUCCGUUAAAAAUAUAUCCAAGGGCUGUCCUUCUGUCCCAGACCAGUCCUGACAGCUAAGACGGCUGGCACCCACCUGGCACACUCUAGUGCCUUUGUCAUGUCACCUCCUGCCACAUCAAGCCUUUGGCACAGUCCUGGUGACUCAACCUCUGCCAGGCCCACGCCAUCUUCUGCCCAACCCAUAGCGGGUGGUGUCCAACAUGUUCGGGUUGGUACAGGUUGGUAGUAGGCCAUAGUUUCCCGGACUUCGUUUGUUUCCGAGGUAGUGUUUGCAGGGGUGGUAGACAUGCCACCAUUCUUCAGUUUUUUCUUUGACUUUCCCCUGUAACUUCAAUGAACAAACUGCUGGUCUACCUUCGAGCUCUUCCACCUCCCAGAGGAGAUGUUCUGUGCCCAGUGCCCGGGGUGUCUCCUUUGGCCUUACAGUCAGCACAGUUUGGUCCAAAGCUCUCUGGCCGCACCCACAUACCAAGGCAGUGCUGAUGUCAGUGUGUUCCCUGCAAAGGUGCCCAUCCAUUGUUUCCUCCGUAGACCAAGGAGGCUGGGAGAGUUUCUUUCCAACUCUCUCAGUCCCUGUAGAAGUCCCAGGACAUGCUGAUGCAUCCCUCAGCAAAGGGGUGGUCGAUGGCACUGAGUAAGAAGGAAAGUAAGACAUAUAGAAAAAAAGAUAAAAGCCCAGAGGGAAAAGAUAGAAGGGCUAGAAACAAGCCAAGCUAAGGCCAGGCCCUCAUAACUAAGAAUAAGCCUCUGUGUGUGAUUUAUUUGGAAGCUGAGUGAUGGGCCCCUCAAAGAGCCAAAAGAGUAGAGACAAAACUACAACUACAAAAUGAGUACCAUGGUGGUGUUUGGACAUCCAUCUAGAUAGAGCCUGAGAAAGUGUGUGUGUGUGGGGGCGGGGCAUGGCUCCUUUAAGAGACACUGCUGUUUAGCUGGCAAUGCUAAAUAGAAGCUACAAACAGCAAGCUAAGUAAAAACUGCUUGCAACAACGCAGGUACUGGCUCCCAUAGAUAGAAAGGUUUAAUGCAGUUUUCCAUGAGCCUCGGACCAGGAGGAAAACUUUACACUUGGCUUUCCUGCCCCAAGAAGUGGGCCGAGCCAGCUGAUAGAGCUGCACUGGGAGAACACAGGUGUAGCUUAACAGUUUAACGUUUGCUCCUUUGGUCAAAAAAGACUAGAGAUACACAGUAAAAGAGGUCCAGAUGGAAAAACCUCUGAAUGGGUUCCAGUGUGUUUACAAUGUGCAUAGGCUUAAGAAAGAAAGAAACAGGUAUGGACAGUCAUAGAAAGAAAUAAACAACUUAAAAUAAUACAAUAGAUGUCUUUAAAGAGAGAGUAAAAAUAAUAAAAAAAUAAUAAGGCACAUAAAGAUGGGAAAUACACAAAGAGUCUGGAUCCUGUAUGCUAUUGUGUUGAUUUUGAAUUAUUUGAUUGCUAAAAGCAAAGGACAGCUGCUAAGAGACCUGGAGUGGAAAUAAACAAGCCUAUAUACUUUAGGAAUGCCUUAACUUUAAAAAAGUCAAAUGUUAUUUGUCACAUGGAAAUAAAAAAAAUGCUUUGGAGAAAUGGUUUUGCUUUUACUUCCAUAGGAAACAAGAGGCUGUGAGUUCGUUCCAGGUAGAUAUGGGUCAGGUUUGGUCAAAGAAGACCACCUGAAACUUGACAGGUGAUGUCUAUCAACAAAAUUAUAGCUGGUCUUUGCAGGACUUGGUCAUUAUCUCAAUUUUCUCUCUGGGAUCCUAAUGGUGUCUUCUUACCCACAACCAGCAAGAAGCAGUCUAGAGAAAACAAUACCCACAUUCCCAACAGUGUGAGAGGCUUUUAGUUAUUUGGUGGGUUAUGGAUGCUUGUCAUAAUUUAUGGGGGAUGUUUAUUAAUUGUUACUGGUGUUGGCAAGGGAGGAAAUUAUGCAAAUGAUAUUAUAUUCAGGGAUCUCUUUGAAAAAAAGGAAAAGAGGAAGGAUGUAGGAUUGAUAGGAUGAAAGGGUAGAUUGUUGAAUCUAUUAUAAACUAAGGGACAAGUAUUGAUCUAAAAUACUUUGUAUUUGUAAGGUGUGAGAAAAAUUUAAGGUCAUUUUUGUUACAAUACACUAUAUAUUUCUAAUUUUGUUUAAAGUAUUUUAGUAUAUUGAUACAAAUUUAAUGUUAUUUUUGUUACACUGUAUAUAUGUUUCUACUUUUGUCUAAAGGGUUUUUGUAGAUUGUUACAAUUUUUUUUCAAGAUAGGGUUUCUCUGUGUAGCUUUGUAGACCAGGCUGGCCUGAUUGAUACAAAUUUAAGGUUGUAUUUGUUACCACAUAUUGUAUAUGUAUUUCUCCUCUUGUUUAAGUUAUUGUAUCUGUGUAGUUCAUUUAAAAAUGUAAGAUAACCUUCUAGUUUUUGAAAGCUUUUAUUAUAAACUAUAUAGGACAAUCAAGAAACGUAGUAGUCAUUUAUAACAAUUUUUGUAGAUAUGUUUUCUAGGUUAAAUAGAUGCAUUUUUAGAUAGAUGGUCUUCAUAUACUUCAAAGACCUAUAGAAUUUAAAUGUUUUGUUAAUUUAAAGAUUUUCAUGACUAUGAGACUCAUCUGCUCCUGGCAACACCAAUUUACUUCAGAAAAGACGAUGGGCAUUGAAGAGACUCUUUGUGGAGUUUGCUUUUGUUGUGGCAAGGUUAGCCACUGAGUAAAGAAACUGUUCUUGCCUUUGAUGCCAAUGUGCUAUGCAAAUAUUCUGCAAGACACACAGAGAAAACAUUGUUGAUCUUUGCCAAAACAAGGCUGGACAGUCCUUCAAAAUUCCUGCGUCACAGAAGAGUCUAUCAGAUAUUCUGCAGACACAGAGGGAAGUGACUGACAAACUGCCAAUAUAGGCAGGACAGUCUUUCAAAUUUCCUGCUUCAUUGAAAAGUCUGCAGGUACUAUGGGCUUGUAGAGAGAAAAUGAAUGCCCCAGUGUUUUAAAGGAACUUUGGGUGACUGUCCAGGCAGUCAUAUGUCUCUGUCAUUUUUAGAGUUUUUGGAAGUAAUUUGCAAUGCGAUUUUUGUUUAUUUAAAUAAUAUUAUAUCCUUCUGGAGUCUUUGAUGGAGUUGAAAACCUCAUAUAGUUGCAGUGUUCCUUAGAUAUGAUAGAAAGUAGGUUAGGUAUAAAACUUUGGAUUCACUGAGAUAGGAUAGAUAGUGCAUUAUUUUCUCUGAAUUUGCUGAAUUGCAAAUGGACAGAAUAUUGUAAAUUAAUUCUUAUUUGAUAACUAUUUUUGUUGUAUAUAGUUCUACUAUUUUAUAGCUAAAACCUUUUUUUGUUUAGACAAAAACGGGUAAAUGUUGGGGAGUAUUUUUAAGGUGUAUGACUUGUUUAUGCUGCGUUAAACCGUGAAGCUGUGAUUCUUUGCCUGUCUAAAACACCUGAUGGUCUAAUAAAGAGCUGAAUGCCAACAGCAAGGCAGGCGCAAGGGCGGACAGAAAGAAUAAAUAGAAGAAACAGGGAAAGAGGAAGAGGAGCAAGAGAACAAGGAGAGGACUCAGGGGAGGAGAGAGAGAGAAGAGUUAAAACAACUUUGUUUCUUACUAAUCAUCCAGGAUUUGGGAGGACAAUUGAACAGAGAUACCGAAAAUCUCAGGGAAGUUGAUUUCAGCCAAGAAGUCAUCUUAGACAUGCCAAGUUCUCCAACAGCAGGAAAACAAUGGGGCAUCGGAACAACCUCCCCAGGGCAAUGGACACCAUGAGCUAUUUGGAAUCAUCCUUGAUUUGGGAAAUAAUGAUGUUCCCAAAGUAAGUUCCCCAAGAAUGUAACUCUGGCAGAGUUUUUUUUACAAAGAUCCCCCAAGAAAGAGCUGUGGAGACUCACACAGGCUUCUCACUGAAGAGCGUUUAUGGAAUAUUAGGAAAAUAAAGGCUACGUGAGUGAAAACUGAAGGGUAGGAGUUUUAAUCUGUACAGUGACACAGGAAAGCUCCAUUUGUAAUUGUAAAACUCAAUAAAUGUAAGUGUGUAAUAAAGACAAUUUUGUAGCCAAAUCCAGGACAGUGGUGCACACUUGUCCAUCCCAGUACUUCAGAGACUUAAGGACGGAGGAUCUUGAUUUCUAGGCCAGCCUGCGCUGGACCGUCAGACUCUGUCUCAUGUAAACAAGACAAAACAUGAUGGCCUUCUGUUUUCUCCUAUGAUUUUUACUUUGAGGAUGGGAUAGAUAUGGUUAGGAUGAGAUAUAGGUACAUUAUUAUCUUCUUGUGAUUCACCUUAGUGAUUAUUGACUAUAGACAACUUACACUGUUAUAGAUCCUUGUAUGAGGUAACUUACGUAUAAUUUGUAUAUCACAAGUCGUCUUACUGUGUAAAUUCUUCUCUCUACUUGUGACGAUGUAUGGUCUUACAUAUGUUAAGACAUUCUGUACACAAUUGAGCGGUACAGGUAUCCAGGGUCUCCCCCUACAAAUAAAUAAGUCAGCCAGGUGAUGUGAUACAUGUCUUUACUCCUAGCACUUGGAGACGGAGGCAGGAGGAUGUCUAUGAGUCAGAUGCCAGUAUGGGCUGCACAGUAAAACCUCAAAAACCACAAAAAUCUCAAAAAUAGAAAAAAAUCCUUAGAAUUUUACUAUUUUACUGCAUGGUCACAAAGAUUAUCACUAUGAGUAAUAGGUAAGCCAGAGAGAAUGUGGAGAAAUCUGUGGACAAGGCUUUAACCAACGGGCAGAGAGGCUGAACCUCCGUAGAUUACACUCAGCAUGGCACACAAUGGCCAUACUGAGGACCCCCAGGGAGGACCCCAUACCUGUGCAGAAGGGCAGGAAGGCUCAGGAGCUGGGGCAAGAGGAAGUGCCUUGAAGUCAGGUGGACUGGAGGAAGUCUGGAACAGAGGUACAGAUGCUCAGUUAAAUUCUAGUUUCUCCCCAAGGACCCCCAACACAUUUCACUCAGGAGAGCUCGAUGCAGAGCUGUGCACCUGGAGACAGCGGGCACAGCCAGGGGAGUACUGGGUGCCAGUCUACAAGAGAGGUUAGUUAGAAAUCCAGUCCGAACCGUAAGACUUUUUGCCUCCUCAAUCCAGCUUCCAGAAUCUGACAUUCAAGCUCAUGCCUGUGUAGGAUUAAUGUAAGGCUGAAACUACAUUUCCCAGGAUCUUCUUCUCCAUAUGAUUCUAGGCUUCAAUCUGGCAGUGAGAAAAACUUGAAUCAGAUGUAGAAUGCCUAUAUCAAAGUUAUUAUUCCAAGAGCCAGACAUGGCGGUCCACAGUCCCAUCUACUAUCUGCCACUGGAUGGCAGACUCUGCAGUUUCCUGGAACUCCUGAAGCUCUUUGUGAUGCAGGCUCAAGACUUGGGUGAGAAUUUCUCCAAGGCUCUGGCUGAAGCUUGCAGGACCUCUCUACCAACCCUACACUAGGCUUUAUUGUUGUACUAUCUGAGGAGUCUGCUGUGCUAACUGCAGCGACCUCUAGGUGAAGACCAAAGAACCUAUCAGCACGCAACGGCAUUGGGUAUCCCCAGCGGGUCCACACUGUAACUUUCCUCCUAUGGCUGUAACAAGUCACUAUAAACUCUGUCUUCCAAAGACUGUAACUGUGCUGUCGUCUUCCAGCCUCACCGGGUAAAGUCAGGAGUCAGCAGUCCCACUCCUUUCUGGAGGAGAUGGUCUGUUAUCCUGCCUUUCUUACCACAGAAACGACACUCCACGCCAGGGCCCUCUUACUUCAUCCCUAGAGCCGGCCACGUUGGGUCUCUCUACUUUGCUCCAUCCUCACAUCUCUCUGACCAACAGCCAAGUGGGGGUGGGGGGCUCUGUUUUUAAGGCCAGGUAUGACUGAGGAGGCUCCAGGACCAGCAAGGAUGCUCUCCCAUUUCAAGGUAACUGACCCACCGAGUCUGCUAAGCCCACAUAAGGCCACAUUUUCACAGGUUAGGACAGGACAUUUUUCUUAAGAUUAAAAACAUAAAAACCUGGUGUGUUUAUGCAUGUGGGUGCCCAGAAGAGGGUGUUGGGUCCCCUGGAAUGGGGGUUACAGACGGUUGUGAGCUACCACACGUAUUAGUACUAAGCACCAAAUUGAGGUCCUCGGCAAGAGCAGUACAUGCUCUGAAUUGCUGAGCCACCUCUCCAGCCCCAGGACAGGGACCUCUUUUGUUUGUAUGAGAGGACCAUUCUUCAAUUUAGCAUACAUGCUGCAAUUAGAUAGGUCAGUUGAAAAGUCCUGUCAGUGGAUAGAGACUUUGACAUUUUACUCCUAUCCCUAAUAGAAACAGCACUGAAGAUCCAAGUGAACCCACAACACAAAAGCCAAAAAACCCACAGCACUUGGAAGAUUUAGACUCAGUGGAGGGCAGAAAACUGCAAAAUGAGAACAAAAUCAACACCCUCCACCCCCAGAAAUAGCUGUGAAAUUACACACAGGGAAAGAAUGACAUUAAAAACCCACCUUUCUGACAUUAGCAGAAAGAAAUACUGUUAAGUUUUCAAAGACAUGGGGGACUUUUCCCAGAAGUAAAAUAGAGACAGAAAGGAGAAGGGAUGAGUGAGUGGAUCAGUGCAGAAUGGAAGAAAAGCUGGUCCCAGGAAGGGAAGCAAAAACAAGGCAAGGGGAUUAGAAAGGCAGGAACUUCUGCUAGAGUGGAGAGACUUCACUGAUCAUGGUAGCGAGGCUGAAUGACAACAGCCUCCAUGGUGACCUGGGACCACCCACUAAAGAACACUGUGUGUGUGUGUGUGUGUGUGUGUGUGUGUGUGUGUGUGCACGCGUGUGCACACGCGCGCAUGCACGCACGUGUAUAACUGUAAGCACAACUGCAUGAGUGUUAAAAUUGAAUCUCCCACUUCCAGAGACAAAGGUUCAGAGAUCAGCUCUGUGUUGUUCCAGACAAUGAAAUCCCAGGGGAUUUUCUUUUUCUAACCAGGAAUUCCUAUCAACAGAGUGUAAAACCUAAAGAAAAACAAAGUCCCAGCAGUCGGCCUUUCCCAGAUGACUGCUGAAGGGUGUGUGCACAUCUCUGCACAGACACACAGACACACACAGACACAGACACACAGACACACACAGACACACACAAACAGACAGAAGCUGGGGUCAAGAGGGUUAAAGAGCUGAAGAUCUGGGAUGUGUUAACCCAGGGGAAGAAGCCAGACAGCAGAGAAAGGCAUUUAUCUAGACCAGGGUGGGAGGACGAUGGGCUCCCAGAAACCAGAGCACAACACGGUGACCGCACACUGGUCUGAACACGCUGGAAGGGAAGUCACAGUCCCACAGUCAGGAUUAGGAGUGAAGAGUGAAGCAUGUGGAAACUUAAAACUUUAAAAUGAGAUUCAUUUCAGAAUUUAAAUAAGGUUUGUGAAGGAAUUCGAGUCUGCAUGGGUGGGCUACAAAAAAAUCUCUACAUAUUACUGACACUAGUCCUUUGUCUGUGGGCACAUGUGUGUGCGUGUGUAUGUGAACCUUGGGUGUUUUCAGGACAGCUAUCCGCCUGGUUUUUUGGGAUGGGGUUGUUCGCUAGCCCUUGACUUAACUUGGGCUAUAAUUGAAUUGUGGAGGUAAAUGGAGUUGGGUGCUUAUGGGGGCGUGAGUGUUAAAGCUAAACCCUCACAUCCCAUGGGGGAGGGAGAAGGGAAGAAAGUCAGAAAUCAAAGAACAGCAGCAUAACACUUUUAAAUGUAUGAAACCGGAAGACACAGAUGAAAGAGUUUAAGAUGCUAAUGGGAAAACACAGGCAGGACUGUGGACAGCUAGCUGCUUCUUGCCAUGGGGCUCAGUGCUAUUCGAUAUAGUCUGUGGACAUGCAACACAUGAAUCACAUUCAAAGAUUAAACUUCACAAAAGAAAAUCAGGAUAAUUCAGAUGCCAAACUGAUAAAUAUAUAAACCAAACAUGGUAUGCCCAUACAAUGAAAUAUUAUUAACUCAUGAAAAGGAAACAGAGCACUAAUGCACAGUACAACGCGGGUGAAUCGUGAAAACAGCACACUACGUGAACAAAAUUACACAGAAUUUCACACAGCAUGUGAAUGAUUCCGUGAAAUGUCCAGACUGUAUAAAUCUGGAGAUUUUACUAGGAGUCAGAAGAAGGGAAUGGGGGACACGUGCCUGCUGGGUACAGGUCUUCUUUUGAGGUGAGGGGCAUUAGACCUUGCUAAUCUGACAGUUGUAUAACACCAUGAAUGCCAUAAGAGCCAUGUAUUAUAUACACUAAAGUGGUUAACUUUGGGGGCUGGAGAGAUGACUCAGAGGUUAAGAGCACUGACUGUUCUUCCAGGGGUCCCAAGUUCAAUUCCCAGCAACCACAUGGUGGCUCACAACCAUCUACAAUUCAAUUUGGUGUCCAAUUCUGGCACGUAGGCAGAACACUGUAUAUGUAAUAAAUCUUUUUUAAAAAAUGGUUAACUCUGUUUUCUGUAACUCUUACUUUACCUUAAUAAUUAAAAUAUGUAAAAACACUAAUGGAUUCUAUGUCUGUGGUAUACUCCAUUUUAAUUUCAGCUAAAUAAAAAAGUUGCUCAGUCUCAGCAGCAAACACACACUUCUGCUUUACACAGGAUGCUGAUGGGUGACUCAUAUCACCAGGGAAAUAGGCUGUUUGUGAGAGUCAGGGUAACAGGCUGUGCAAUUGUUUGUGUAGAGUCAGGGUAACAGGCUGUGCAGUUGUUUGUGAGAGUCAGGGUAACAGGCUGUGUGGUUGUGUAGAGUCAUGGUAACAGGCUGUGCGGUUGUUUGUGUAGUCAGGGUAACGGACUGUGCAGUUGUUUGUGUAGUCAGGGUAACGGGCUGUGCAGUUGUUUGUGUAGUCAGGGUAACAGGCUGUGCAGUUGUUUGUGUAGUCAGGGUAACAGGCUGUGUGGUUGUUUGUGUAGUCAGGGUAACAGGCUGUGUGGGUUGUUUGUGUAGUCAGGGUAACGGGCUGUGCAGCUGUUUGUGUAGUCAGGGUAACAGGCUGUGUGGUUGUUUGUGUAGUCAGGGUAACAGGCUGUGCAGUUGUUUGUGUAGUCAGGGUAACAGGCUGUGUGGUUGUUUGUGUAGUCAGGGUAACGGGCUGUGCAGCUGUUUGUGUAGUCAGGGUAACAGGCUGUGUGGUUGUUUGUGUAGUCAGGGUAACAGGCUGUGCAGUUGCUUGUGUAGUCAGGGUAAUGGGCUGUGCAGCCAUUCUGAAUAGGCACCAUCUCACCCAGGUGGGACAGAAACGAACUAUGAACAGACCUCAGAAUGUAGCGCACAGUUACGGGCUGCCCGUGCUGCACUUGAACACCACCAGCGGCUUGUUUGCUUUUUCGUGUAACACACAGGAGCACGGGAAACUUGGAUUUGAGUUCUGGUGAGGGGGUCUAAUGAGGGAGGGAGCUUCCUGUUUUGUUUCCUUUUUGGAUUAAAUUUCAUUUCCC